rnacentral:rRNA from 1 species
CCUACGGGGGGCAGCAGUGGGGAAUUUUCCGCAAUGGGCGAAAGCCUGACGGAGCAAUACCGCGUGAGGGAAGACGGCCUAUGGGUUGUAAACCUCUUUUUUCAGGGAGGAACAAAAUGACGUGUACCUGAAGAAUAAGCAUCGGCUAACUCCGUGCCAGCAGCCGCGGUAAGACGGAGGAUGCAAGUGUUAUCCGGAAUCACUGGGCGUAAAGCGUCUGUAGGUGGUUUGUUAAGUCAACUGUUAAAUCUUGAGGCUCAACUUCAAAUCAGCAGUCGAAACUAUCAGACUAGAGUAUAGUAGGGGUAAAGGGAAUUUCCAGUGGAGCGGUGAAAUGCGUAGAUAUUGGAAAGAACACCGAUGGCGAAGGCACUUUACUGGGCUAUUACUAACACUCAGAGACGAAAGCUAGGGUAGCAAAUGGGAUUAGAUACCCUUGUAGUC